CACAGUACGUCCACAUCCUAGUACGUUGUGAUAGAUCAUAUCGUUGUCUCCUGACGGCACCUUCUGAACAGAAGGCCGCUAACGGCCGCUGACCGCACUACGGCUAGAGGAAGGAGGGGUAGAGAAGAAGAGGGAGGAGAGGAGCGGGGGAGGAACGAGGGAUCGGUUAGGAGAGACAGAGACGAGCGGAGUAGGUGAGUUAGGAGAGAAACGACGGAAGAAAGAGACAGAGAAGGGAGAGUCUAGGGCAAGGGUAGAAGAUCUAGGUCGGACUAGAUUAAGCUGCCUCCGGGAGGACCGGUCUAGGCCAAUGAGGAGCGGCGGGGGCGGGGCGGGGGGAGGGGGGGUGUGUGUUGGGUGAAAGCAAUGAGGGUCGGGACAUAAGGAAGAUCAAGCUCAGUUCGACGUCAUCUUAUAGUCCUACUGAAAUCGAGGAGAACGGUUGCUCUAUCUCACCUAGAAUCCUCACCAGUCCCCCCUCCUCUACCUUAAACUACGACAUCAUGUACCCUUGUACUGACUGAGAAAAAGAACCCGUCGCCGUGUAACGGGAUUGCGCAGAGCCCACGGUACUUUCGGUAUCGAACCUUAACGGCUCCAUACCCGGCUCUGGAGCCGUUACUUGCAUACGAUAAAGACCGGUUAGACUAGGCAAGAUGAUUUCGAGUCCAUUGGAAACAAAGGCUUUAGUUUAGAAGGUUCCAAGCCAGCCAACUAGAACAAUUAUCCAAACUACAACGAUUAUCAAAACAACAAGGAAGAUCUCCUCGGAGACCUCCCGAGACCGAAUACACCUUACUACUUGAGUUACACAGACAAGUAUCACGGAGGAAAGUAAUAUAAAAUCGAUUACAUCAAGUAGAUCGGAGCCCACAAGUGAAAACAAACUAAACAUAUAUACCACUGGGGAUGGUAUCCGUCUGAUCACGAUAAACCUCAGUUCAAAGACGAAAACACAUACUAUUGAACCCAUUCGGGUACUACACAUAACCUCUGGAAUUACUGUAGAACAUACUAUGUCUACCAACAUUACCAUCACAAUUAAUAAUAGCGUACAGACGAAAAGCAAGGGAACAAUUUUUAACACCAAAAAAAUAUAACCAAAAUCACCAGGACGCAUGUGAACCGUAUUGUUUGUUGUAUGACAAUUAGGAUAAAUGUCUGCAGAUCUGGCUACGGAACAGUUGAGACUGACCACACGCGUAAUAGGAUUAAGAUUUCACGAGUUGAAUGGAUAAUAAGAGUCACUAGUACGCGGGUAAGAGCAAAGAUGUCUGUUAUUAAAAAAAUUCGGCUCCGUUUGAAAAUUUAAACUUUUGACUACCAACGAACUUUUUCUGAAAUGAUCGAAACGUUUUAGACGAACCUUAUUAACGUGAAAAUGGAGAAAACGUCGUUUCAGAAAAAGAAACCGUCCAAGAAACUUCUUCACCACAUUCUUCUUUUUCGGGAAGGUCGUUCUCGAAAACCUUUAACUCAGGUCAUAAUUAGUCUAAGUCGUCGAAGGUUAAGUCGUCGUUUUAGUGUGAAACCUUUCGAGAGAGUGAAAAUCGUACCCUAACCUAACCGCUCCUUCAAUGAGUUGAACACUGAUGGAAAAUAUUUUGACCAUAAAAUGGAGGAGUAUAGUUACUGUGAUUAUAACGAGAGUAAGGUUUUUUCAAUCAAGGAGUUCAAGGAUACCUAAUAGCAGGGUAAUCGGAAACAUUACAACAGAUGUUUUAGUAACGCUUUAGUAACCGAUUAUCCUAAUUCGGAGUAGAAGGCCUGAUAUAACUAGGCCGUGUUGUUCGGAAAUAACUCCCAUCUUCUUAAUCGCUAUUGUAGUAAUAACGAGUUCUCUAAUGAGUGAGGAAGCGAGAUUUUAGCACCUUAGUAGUACGAAAGUACGAGUUCUAUCUAGAACGAUUUCGAAAACUAGCAGAACUUACCUCAAAGUAACACAGACGAGAAUGUACAUUUCCAGACGUACCAGUAAAGUAAUUAAACUAAAAGUACGAACGUAAAGAAGAAGAUGAAAGAGACACGAAUAAUUACCCGUCGGAAGAGUAUUUAAAUUUUCAAAGUCUCCAUAAGCAGUUCCGACAGGGUACAGCGGAAUAAACAAACAAUAACGAUAGUUACUUAAUAGACAACGAGAAUUACUUCGAGAUCGACGAGUAGUAGAGGUCCCAUAAAGUGAACCAGGUCUAACGGGAAGAUAAGUAAGAGACAACAAACGUCUACUAGACAACCAAACACCAGUUCGGUGAUACGUCCUUCGUUUAAGAUACCGAGUUGAGUAGGUAGUGAAAACAAUAUAAAGUCCAGUUUGUGGUUUAACCCGGUUUAGACGAUAAGAAAAAUCAUGAGUACAAUCAGUUUGGUGAUAAGUUCUCUAAUUCGUUCAAAAAGGAUAAAGAUAGUACCUAUUGUUAAAGUGGGUGGAACCAGUAGGCGAAUAAGAAGGACGAUUUUUAUCUUGACGAUGAAUGUUGAAACAAUAACUAUUUAAAGACUUAUUUAACGCACGAAUGUUUCGAUUAUACGAGAGAGUACGACGAUCCGAACUCGAGUAAUCCAGACACAAGAGACGAUAAGGACACAUGAUGUACAGAUUAUAAAACAAAUGGUUCUUCAAAUAUCGGUUUGAGUGACGAUAAUAUUCCUUGAAAACCACCUGUCCUUAGUCUCUCUUAUUAAGAUUGUUCUCGGAAAUAGAAUCCCGAACCUUCCUGUAAACGUUAAUGUUUGUCCUUCCACCAGAACCGUAAUCCUUGAACGUUCGUUAAUUACUCCCGAAUGAAGAACGUCGACGAACCUCCGAACGAUUUCUGGGAAGGAGGGUGGAAGUAGAACACGAGUUUAGAUUUAUGAAGGUACUACGGAGAUAAACCUGACGAUAAAGAUGAUGAGGUUUUAGACGAAAGACCAGUAGGUAAAAUUUUUACAACAGAUUUGACUUUCUAGUGAGAAAAAUGGUUGAGUGCGUUCCCUUAUAGAGAGAAACCUCAUGGGGAACCACAAGGGAAACCCGAAGACAAGUACUGUUAGAAUAAUAAGUCGGAAGUCCUAUGUAUAUAGGAAGAGAACAAUUCCUGGAAACCUAUGGCCCAGUCUUUCAGACCUUGUUACUGGAGUAAUUGAGAGAGAAAGUUGUCGGAGAUCGGAGACAAUAGCAAGUUUGACUGUAAUAAGUGGUUCUAACGGGCCUAUAUAAUACAACCCUAGAUUGAGGAUUACCAUGAACAAGAAGGUUCAGGUGAAUAUUUAACACAAACGUCCUAUAAGUACGGUUAGGUUCUUUAUGAGGAAGGGUUCAAAGAAACGUCUACUUUUUAGAAGAGUUCAACUAAACCUUCGUUUUCAACUACUAGGGGUCUCAAGUUUGAAAGCGAACCUCUGAGGAAGCCUUUCGAGAAGGGUGUCCAAACUCCCAACCCGCGAAAAGGCAUGUAUAAAGAGUUAUAACAACGUCUACACCAGUCGUUCUCCUACUCCAAGUGUACAAAAAAGAAACACUGAAGCGAUCUCGACGAACCAAAAGAGUAGGAACCAAGUAGUCUUGUUUACGAAAUCAAGUCUAGAUAUGGUUAUAGGUAUCAUAAUAAGAACGAAAUGAAUUAUACUUGGUAGGCGUACGAAGACAACGGUUGUAAGAUUUAAAAUACACCACAGAAACCUUUCGCUCCUUACUAAUAUAAAAAUUAUCUUUCUUUCGAUGGGGAGUGGUUCAAUUAUAACGACGAUGAAGAGAUAGAUUACUAAAGACACUAGACGAAUUGUCAAGAAGUGUGGUAAUCGGAGUUUUGAGGUCAACAUAGAAUUGGGUAUGAUUAGUUGAAGGGAACGUCCCUGUUUGCGAAUUUAGUCUAGAAGAAUAGUGCCCUGGCUUUCAUAUAUGACUACGUAGAAAAUUCACGUUUUUUUAAGAUCCAAAUAACGUCCCUUGUUGUCGGUGACCUCAACCAUAGAUGUAAAGAAACGGCGUGCUAGUCUUCCUUCAGUCGCACGUGUAAGUUCGAAGGUGGAGUUAAUGUUCAUGAGGAGACGUCCGACUUCGCAAACGAGAAGAGAACCGACGUUUUCAUCGAUUUACAGAGUUGUAGUCAGUCGGCUGGAAGGAGUGUCUGACAGAGAGAAACCGAAGUAAACGCCGAUCAUCUUUCUAAUGACUUUGACGAUGGGGAAUCUGAUAGUCCCUUCAAAAUCGACUAAAGAAAACGAUGAGAAGUCUGGAAGUUGGAUCUCACAAGGUAUAAAGGUCCCUUUAAUUACCUUAACGAGUGUUGCAGCCAGUAGUCCAAGAAUGUAGUUUACAUCUUGGACUGUAUACAACAAAACGAAGCCGAGUGUCCUUGUACCGAACGGGACAUCAAAGAGAGGAGAGAUUAAAGCUCAAACUCCCGAAAUAUUAAGUACGAUAUGCAACG
rnacentral:rRNA from 1 species